rnacentral:rRNA from 1 species
GACCGACGGGAGCUUGCUCCCUUAGGUCAGCGGCGGACGGGUGAGUAACACGUGGGUAACCUGCCUGUAAGACUGGGAUAACUCCAGGAAACCGGGGCUAAUACCGGAUGCUUGAUUGAACCGCAUGGUUCAAUCAUAAAAGGUGGCUUUCAGCUACCACUUACAGAUGGACCCGCGGCGCAUUAGCUAGUUGGUGAGGUAACGGCUCACCAAGGCGACGAUGCGUAGCCGACCUGAGAGGGUGAUCGGCCACACUGGGACUGAGACACGGCCCAGACUCCUACGGGAGGCAGCAGUAGGGAAUCUUCCGCAAUGGACGAAAGUCUGACGGAGCAACGCCGCGUGAGUGAUGAAGGUUUUCGGAUCGUAAAACUCUGUUGUUAGGGAAGAACAAGUACCGUUCGAAUAGGGCGGCACCUUGACGGUACCUAACCAGAAAGCCACGGCUAACUACGUGCCAGCAGCCGCGGUAAUACGUAGGUGGCAAGCGUUGUCCGGAAUUAUUGGGCGUAAAGCGCGCGCAGGCGGUUUCUUAAGUCUGAUGUGAAAGCCCCCGGCUCAACCGGGGAGGGUCAUUGGAAACUGGGGAACUUGAGUGCAGAAGAGGAGAGUGGAAUUCCACGUGUAGCGGUGAAAUGCGUAGAGAUGUGGAGGAACACCAGUGGCGAAGGCGACUCUCUGGU